UGCAACCUGAGCUCACGCGUGAUUACCCGCUGAACUUAAGCAUAUCAUUUAACGGAGGA
rnacentral:rRNA from 1 species